rnacentral:rRNA from 1 species
GAUGAACGCUGGCGGCGUGCCUAAUACAUGCAAGUCGAGCGAACAGACGAGGAGCUUGCUCCUCUGACGUUAGCGGCGGACGGGUGAGUAACACGUGGAUAACCUACCUAUAAGACUGGGAUAACUUCGGGAAACCGGAGCUAAUACCGGAUAAUAUAUUGAACCGCAUGGUUCAAUAGUGAAAGACGGUUUUGCUGUCACUUAUAGAUGGAUCCGCGCCGCAUUAGCUAGUUGGUAAGGUAACGGCUUACCAAGGCAACGAUGCGUAGCCGACCUGAGAGGGUGUACGGCCACACUGGAACUGAGACACGGUCCAGACUCCGACGGGAGGCAGCAGUAGGGAAUCUUCCGCAAUGGGCGAAAGCUUGACGGAGCAACGCCGCGUGAGUGAUGAAGGUCUUCGGAUCGUAAAACUCUGUUAUUAGGGAAGAACAAAUGUGUAAGUAACUAUGCACGUCUUGACGGUACCUAAUCAGAAAGCCACGGCUAACUACGUG